ACACCGAUGGUGAAACGGUAUCAUGCUUGCCUUCCACACUCGGUUUGUGAUAGCAAGCGGCGUGGGUUCGACUCCCGCUCGGUGUA
rnacentral:tRNA from 1 species